CAAGGGCAAGCCCACACCUGUGUGAGCACAGAAGUGUCUGCACACCUGUGUUCACCCAGGGGGGAGGGGUGGGCCUCAGGUGUGGAGGGCAGUGCACUUCCUGCAGCACUUUGGUCAGGAACUCUAGCUCUGGCUGCCUUUCAGCACAAGCUGUCUUAUAUGUGUAGAGUAUCUUUUAUAUGGAAAGCUCUUGUUUUUUUUUUUCAAGCUGCAUCAAAGUUUCUCAGGUGAAGGCAGCUGCAAAGUCUGCAGAUUUCCACGUACAAAAGUUACUUCAAAUGGCGUUUCUGUGAGAAGACAACUAGUUGCCUCAGCAAUAGAACCAAAAAAAGACUAGUGCUUCACUGCUAACAAGAAAGUGGAAAUGACUCACUGCUACUAAAGGAUAUAGCUUUGGAAAAGUGGUUGGGCAGUCAGAAACUGAAAUUCAAAUGUUACAGAUUCCUGUGAGUGAGGCUUGGGCAUCUGCAAAAGUGUGGACCACGAUCUAAGAAAC
ensembl:lncRNA